rnacentral:rRNA from 1 species
CAUACCUAUUCGAAGGGAUAGGGUCGGUUUGGCCGGAUUUCACACAAGCGUUGCAUGGCUGUCGUCAGCUCGUGUCGUGAGAUGUUGGGUUAAGUCCCGCAACGAGCGCAACCCUCAUCCUUAGUUGCCAUCAGGUAAUGCUGAGUACUUUAAGGAAACUGCCAGUGAUAAACUGGAGGAAGGUGGGGAUGAUGUCAAGUCAUCAUGGCCCUUAUGGAGUGGGCUACACACGUGCUACAAUGGUGAUUACAAUGGGCUGCAAGGUCGCAAGGCUGAGCUAAUCCUAAAAAAUCAUCUCAGUUCGGAUUGUUCUCUGCAACUCGAGAGCAUGAAGUUGGAAUCGCUAGUAAUCGUGGAUCAGCAUGCCACGGUGAAUACGUUCUCAGGUCUUGUACACACUGCCCGUCACGCCAUGGGAAUUGGUUUCACUCGAAGCU